rnacentral:sRNA from 1 species
GCCGGGCAUGGGGGUGCAUGCCUGUAGUUCCAGCUACUCGGGAGGCUGAGGCAGAAGGAUUGCUUGAGCCCAGGAGUUUGAGGUGACUGUGAGCUAGGCUGACACCAUGGCACUCUAGCCCAGGCAACAGAGUGAGACUCUGUCUCAAAAAAAAAAAGUGGUAGCACAUGCCUGUAGUCCCAACUACUCGGGAGGCUGAGGCAGUAGGAUUGUUUGAGCCCAGGAGUUUGAGGUUGCUUUGAGCUAGGUUGAUGCCACAGCACUCUAGCCUGGGCAACAGAGUGAGACUCUGUCUCA